rnacentral:rRNA from 1 species
GAUGAACGCUGGCGGCGUGCCUAAUACAUGCAAGUCGAGCGAACGGACGAGAAGCUUGCUUCUCUGAUGUUAGCGGCGGACGGGUGAGUAACACGUGGAUAACCUACCUAUAAGACUGGGAUAACUUCGGGAAACCGGAGCUAAUACCGGAUAAUAUUUUGAACCGCAUGGUUCAAAAGUGAAAGACGGUCUUGCUGUCACUUAUAGAUGGAUCCGCGCUGCAUUAGCUAGUUGGUAAGGUAACGGCUUACCAAGGCAACGAUGCAUAGCCGACCUGAGAGGGGGGAGCGGCAACACGGGAACUGAGACGCGGGCCAGACCCCUGGGGGAGGCACAAGUGGGGAUUCGUCGGAAGGGGGCGAAAGCUGGAGGAAGCAACGCCGGGGGGGUGAGAAGGGUCUCCGAUUGUUAAAUCUCUUUUAUGGGGGAAGAACAUAUGUGAAAGUAACUGUGCCCCCCUGGAGGGAACAUAAUAAAAAAGCCAGGGCUAACUCCGCC